rnacentral:rRNA from 1 species
UACGGAGGUGGCGAGCGUUGUCCGGAAUCAUUGGGCGUAAAGGGCGCGUAGGUGGCCUGCUAAGCGUGCGGUGAAAGCUCGGGGCUCAACCCCGAGUCGGCCGUGCGAACUGGUGGGCUUGAGCACUGUAGAGGCAGGCGGAAUUCCGGGUGUAGCGGUGGAAUGCGUAGAGAUCCGGAAGAACACCGGGUGGCGAAGGCGGCCUGCUGGGCAGUAGCUGACACUGAGGCGCGACAGCGGUGGGGA